CGAAAAGUUGUGAAGGUUAGCUAUAGGCUCCUGCCGAAUCUGAACAAAUCCUCUAAAUGAGAGUUUCUUUCCUUGAGUGGUCUUCUUCCACAUGCUGUUUCUAGCUCCUGCUCACAGCCAAAUUCUUUCCAUUCUACAAACAGCAAAAGUAACUCUUUGAGCUUAAUCUUUUGUACAGAGAAACUUCUGUUUCAUUCAAACAUGAUAUUUGAAUAAAAUUGUAUUGGGAUUUAAGGACACAUUUCUGUAAUUCAAAACACAAACACUGAAAAUGUCAGUACCCUGUAAUUUCCAAAAAUCAAUUAUGUGGCACGAGUCUUUGAUUUUGCCCCUGACAACAGGUUCCCGCAUCAAGGGCGACUGCUCCCCGGCCUUUCUGCCCACCAGACACCUCCCACUCAGCCAUUUCCCUCACCUGCAGGCACGGUCCAUAAAUGACACAGCCCCAGAGAAGAACUGGGGGCGGGAGGCAGGGGGUUUCAGCCCUUGCUGAAGACUGGUUGACUGUUCAGGGAGAGAACAGCGUAGAGAAACUGGGGCUCAAACCGUGGGGCACGGGACCCAGAACUUCCUGUUCUGCUUUUAAACAUUUUCCGUUUUCCUCUGAAUUUAUUUGUGGAAAGGAUUUUCCUUAUAUUUGAGGGAUAAAUAACUCACCAGAAUGGAGGACCACUUGGUCCACCUAUAGAUAACUUUACAACCUUUGGGGAAGACUUCUGCAGGGUAAAUGAGUGAGCAGGAG
rnacentral:lncRNA from 1 species